CAUCUUCCCUGUCUUCGCGGUUCCGUACCAACCAUACGGGUCGACCAUUCCUACUAUUCCCAGUGCUGUCCAUAUUGCCAGGUUUGGGAACAAUCCUCUCCAGCGGACUACCAACAUUGGGUUAAGCAAGCACCUUGAGAAAACGUAGAUUUGAAAGUUUUAUUUAUUCCUUUUGUCUAUUUUUUUGAAUAUAAAAAGUGUGAAACUAAAACUAUUGAAGCAUUCGUACAAUUUGAGUUCCGGGCAACAACUCGAAAAUUUGUGUCGGCGGCAUUUUUACACCUCACUGUUUCUUUACAAUUUAAACUUGCAUUCAUUUUCGUCAUUUAUUAAUAUACUUUACUUUAGCAUACAUUGUCGUUUUCCAUAUCUCAUGAACGCUGGCAAUUGGACUCUUUUCUUUACAUUUGUCUCUCUUUGAACGGUUUAUGAACUACAUCCUCCUGUUAGUCCUUUUUCCUUAUUUCAAUCGUUAUUUUGACUUUAAAUAUUUAUUCUAUUCGUUACGUUUUAUAAUUAAAUCUUGUUGCACUAUAUCUAUUCCUUUUUUUUGCAUUUCCCGUGUUAGAGAAGCUCCUUGACUCUUAAGAGGUUCUGGUUUUCGACGUUUUCUACAUUCCUUCAG